GAGCGGUAGUUCAGUUGGUUAGAAUACCGGCCUGUCACGCCGGGGGUCGCGGGUUCGAGUCCCGUCCA
rnacentral:tRNA from 1 species